GCCGGCUGGGGCGCAGGCACCGGGGGCGGCGGGGGGAGGGGGGGGGCGGGGGGUGAAAAGGGGAACGACAGCCUUUUGAACUCGGAAUGGGAGAACAGGGCCAGACCAAAUGUUGCUGGCACGUUGGUGAGUGGCUGACGCAGUGUCAGCAGCAAGGGGAGCUGAGAGCCUCCGGGGACCACGCUGAGCCUUCUGAGGCCACCAGGUCUGCAUCUUGACCGAGUCUGUGUCUCUGGUACCUACAAGGGCUUAGAGGAGGAGCGCUGAGCCUGGAACACGUACCUACGUUGUAUUUUAGGCAAGACUCCUUGAGGACAUUGGGCUCCAACAAGUAGUGAAAACAGGAGUCCAGUGAUGCAUUUAGCUAAAAGGCUUCCGAGCACAUUCAGGCAAAGCUGGAUCCAGGGACUCAAUUGCCAUUCAUUCUCUCCCCGAUCCACCGCUCUCCAUGUCUUAGUUGUGCUCCUCUCGGUGGGUAGUCAGAGAAAUUGGACAAUGAAAGCUCCAUCUAUAGUUCUCACAGCUUAGCAUUGUCAGAGACAGAGACAGAGACAGAGACAGAGACAGACAGAGGGGCCAUUUGCAACACCCAUGCCAAACUUUAGUGAAUAUGCAGGUUGAUUAGAGUCACAUUCCAUUUCCUGAGACAACCUGUUUGGUCAGGGAAGUGGUGGGGAAGACAGUGGUCUCCUUGGCCAGCCUCGGUCAUUGGCCACCCCUCUGUAUUGGGGACGGUCCCCAUAACUGCCAGCCAGUGAAGCCUAUGGAGGGGGGAGGAGUGUCUUCUCCACGGGAUCUUGGGUAGUCAGGUGACAUCUAUCCACCUCACUUAUGCUUCGAGAUGUUCAUUAACCUCUUUAAUGUGUGGUCUAUAAACCUGCCCCUACACACAGGGUCUGCCCUCUCCUUACCCACCCCUCCUCUCGCCCCAUGCCCCAUCCAAUCCCCAUGCCUACAUAGACCCCCUGAAUUUACCCAGCCUCCUUCCCAUUCCUCCAUGCCAGAGCAUAAGUGUCAUCCUCAAAACGUUCUCACCAGCCAGCCACUCCAUCGCCACGCCAGUGAAACAAAUAAUUCUUUCCAUCUCAGAG